CUGACCUGUAGAAACAAUACUGAUUACAAUCUUAAACUAUUAUCUGUCAAAAUAAAGUAAUUAACUAGCAAUGCCCUUCCAACCUCCUGUUUUUCCUCCAUUCAGCCUAAAUAAAAGCUUAAGGUAGAAAAACAGUAUAAUAUUUACUACUAAGUUUUCAUUCCCUCAUUGUCAUACCUGAAUGAGAAUCUUACACACAGAGUUCAACCUUUACUAUCCCAAGUUGCAGCACCAAAGUGCAGUCAGAUAAUUAAAUGAAUGUAUUUUUGCACAAGUUCUAGAGAGAUGAUCACGAAUUUGCAAAGGCCAGAUCUCUGAAAUCAGCAGAAUAUCAUGUGUUCCACCUCUUUGAUUUUUCAGGCUCUGACAAUUACAUGGUGCUACAGAAAUAUUUUCAUCUGACUUGGAAAAUGUUUCUCUUUAUUUAUGAUCAGUGAAAAAACCAAACCAUUGCAUCUUCAUAGAAGUGAUUUUAAUAGAAAAAUAGGAAAUAUUUUUAAAUUAUUUUUAAUUCCUUGAAAAUGGAAUAAAUAGUGGGUUAAGCAUUACACACAAUAACUAUUAUUUGCUGUAAUUAAGAUACGUCUUCUUCAGAUCUUUAUUUUGGUAUAUAAAACUUCAUAAACCAAAUUUAACAUAUACUUCAGCAGGAAUUAUACAUUUUGAACACGCUGUGCUAAUAAAUAGAGGAAAUAAAUGCAUCUGUUUAUUCCACAUUAAUGGAAUUCAGAACAGAACUUGCAACAUUAUUUGAACUAUACAUGUAAAGUUAACCACCCUGUCCUUGUUUAGGAUUCCCUCCCAGACUGUUAUACCAUAAAAUAUUUAAGUAGAUAGUAUUUUACCAAAAAUGUAUUAAACUGUUAAGAUUAAUUAGAAUUAUUUUAUUUAGGGCAAAUAUUUUGAAAUUAUUUGACUCAUAGCUGUUAGGCAGGGUCAGUUACCAGAGAAAAUCAACAGUUAACAAUAAGGCACUAUUUUCCUGGAAGAACCAAUGAAACCAAAACUUUUAGCUAAAAGAAGUAAUUAGUUUUUAAUUUAAAAAACCCAUGGAAUUUCUUAUGAGUAUCUAAUCAUUAGAGGCAAACUAGUUUUACUAAAAAGAAAAAAUAGAAAAGCACGUUCUCUAAAUCAGUGUACCAAUUUCUUGGUAUCCGAUUUUUAAAGUAGGUGGUUCAGUAAAACAUAACAUUCUAUCAAAAUUUAAAUGUUUUUUAUUGCAAAAUGUAACUUUAUUCAAAACAAAGGUUCUGAAAGCAAUUUAAACAGGGGCUGUUCUUUGGCCUAUAAUCUAUUCUUUAUCCGGAUUACAGAUCAGAAUGUUUUUACUGCAAUCUCUGCCAGAGCUCAUCUUUUUAUUGUGUACUUCCAAGCCCCCUUAAUGUUUUAGAAAGGCCUUGACUAACUGAACUUUGAUCUGAUGUCUUCAUUGAGAAAAGCUCCAGGUUGCCUAUUUCAGAUGCAAAUCCUUCCUGAGGCCCAAAAGAGUUUAGUAAAGACAGCAAAAAAGAAGAAACAAGAAGUUUCCAGGAUCCUCUUUGAGAAUCCUGAGGCACAUUGGUGUCCUUAAUCCACCCCGCUGCACGGAUUAAGGGUGAUGGAGACAAGACAAUCCUAUUCCAGCUGGAGACUCAAGCACAAUCUCUUCAAACUUCAGGCCCAAAGCAUAAACAAUGUGAGAAGAGGAGGGCAGGCAAGCAAGCAAGGAGGAUGAAACUUCAUCAUUUGAAGCUAUUCAUUGGAAAGUUGGCUCCUGUGUGCAAAUGGACUAAAACUUAUAAAAAUGUGAGAUCUUCUAACCAAGCCCUCUUUUGCUUCCAUCUUGGAGCAUUCCGGGUACUGCCAGGGUGUGGCCUUGGAAGGCUCUUCAAUAAAUCUCCACUUUAUUCCUCUUAA